AACGCGUGGGGAAUCUUGCCUUUGAACGGGGGACAACAUUUGGAAACGAAUGCUAAUACCGCAUAACAACUUUAAACACAAGUUUUAAGUUUGAAAGAUGCAAUUGCAUCACUCAAAGAUGAUCCCGCGUUGUAUUAGCUAGUUGGUGAGGUAAAGGCUCACCAAGGCGAUGAUACAUAGCCGACCUGAGAGGGUGAUCGGCCACAUUGGGACUGAGACACGGCCCAAACUCCUACGGGAGGCAGCAGUAGGGAAUCUUCGGCAAUGGACGAAAGUCUGACCGAGCAACGCCGCGUGAGUGAAGAAGGUUUUCGGAUCGUAAAACUCUGUUGGUAGAGAAGAACGUUGGUGAGAGUGGAAAGCUCAUCAAGUGACGGUAACUACCCAGAAAGGGACGGCUAACUACGUGCCAGCAGCCGCGGUAAUACGUAGGUCCCGAGCGUUGUCCGGAUUUAUUUGGGCGUAAAGCGAGCGCAGGUGGUUUUAUUAAGUCUGGUGUAAAAGGCAGUGGCUCAACCAUUGUAUGCAUUGGAAACUGGUAGACUUGAGUGCAGGAGAGGAGAGUGGAAUUCCAUGUGUAGCGGUGAAAUGCGUAGAUAUAUGAG
rnacentral:rRNA from 1 species